rnacentral:lncRNA from 1 species
AUGCUGGUGGGCUCUCCCAGGUCCCGGCUUCUCGACCAAGAAGAAAUCUAAAGUGGUACUCCACCCUCGAUCUUCCUAAGGGCCAAGGCUGGUCAAACUAACCACAUUCUUCAGCAGAAAAAAUGGAAGUCUGAAACAGCUUUACCUUAAGCACUUGAUCAACUACAUGAAAGUAUAGAUUGAUUCUUCUGGAUUUAAGACCUCACUUUUUGACCAAUAGCUGAGCUUGCUGCCAUGGGCUGCCUGAACAAGUACCAAGAGGCCAGAGAAGAAUUGGAUGUUCUCCAGUCCUGGAACUGGAGUCAUGGAUAUCUGUGAGCGACCACAUUGGUCCUGGGAGACCAACCAACCAACCAACCAACCAACCAACCAACCAACCAACCAACAGCAAAAUCAACAGCAAAAGCAUCUAGUUUUCGGCAAGAGCA